GAGAUCUGCUUGCCUCGACCUAUACCAAGUGCUAGGAUUUAAGGCAUGCACCACCACAUAUAGCUCUAAUUUUGUUUUCACUUUUCUUUCUUUUUUUCUUUCUUUCUUUUUUUUUUUUUUUUUCAAGACAGGGUUUCUCUGUGUAGCCCUGGCUGUCCUAGAACUCACUCUGUAGACCAGGCUGGCCUCAAACUCAGAAAUCCGCCUGCCUCUGCCUCCCAAGUGCUGGGAUUAAAGGCGUGCGCCACCACGCCCAGCUUUAUUUUCACUUUUAAAUAAAGUAUAUGUCUGUUUCACGUGGAAUAGCUUGAAUAGUGCUAGUACAUUCUUGAUAGGAAAACAAAAGGUUCGAAUGCCUAAUGGUCUUGGUAGAGUCUGUCUAGUAAGAAAGGAUAUAGUGUAGGAUUAUAUAGAUUGCAAGCAACCUAAUUCUUUUAAAACCAAAUCUUCAUUUUUUUUCCUAUAAGUAAAAUACUCUGAAGGUAUAGGCCAUUUAACAUUUCUUACUUCCUCCUCCCUCCCCCUUUUCUUCUGCUCUUGUUUUUCAUGUAGAGUUUCUCUGUGUAGCCCUGGCUGCCCUGGAACUUACUCUGUAGGCCAGAUUGGCCUCAAACUCAGAGAUCCACCUGCCUCUGCUUUUUGAGUGCUGGGAUUAAAGGUGUGUACCACCACCACCUGGCGCGCGCGCGCGUGUGUGUGUGUGUGUAUAAAUUGGAAAAAGUGUUAUGUGUAUGGAUGUUGUCCUGCAUAUAUGUCUGGGUGCCACACAUAUUUUUGAUACCCACAGAGGGUAUUGGAUCCACUGGAACUGAAGUUGCCAGUGGUUGGGAGCUGCCGUGUCAGGCUGGGCAUCAAACCCCUGUCCUCUGGAAGAACAGCUAAUUCUCUUAAUGCAGAACCAUCUCUCCAGACCCUUAAUUUGAUUUUUGUUUUGAGACAGAGGCUCUGUAGUUCAGAAUUCUUCUGCCUCAUCCUCUUGUAUGUAGAUGGUAUCAGGCACUAUCUUGCUCUUUAUAUUGCUUUUUUUUUUUUUUUUUGGUUUUUCGAGACAGGGUUUUCUGUGUAGCCCUGACUGUCCUGGAACUUACUUUGAACUCAGAAAUCGCCUGUCUCUGCCUCCCCAGUGCUGGGAUUAAAGGUGUGCACCACCACGCCCGGCUCUUACAUUACUUUUUUAAUUUCACUGUUUGGCUGACACUUUUAUAUAAGUCUACAUUUUUUCAGAUACUAAAGAAACUGAAGCCGGGCGUGGUGGCGCACGCUUUUAGUCCCAGCACUCAGGAUACAGAGUCAGGCUGAUUUCUGAGUUUGAUGCCAGCCUGCUCUACAAAGUGAGUUCCAGGACAGCUACCCAGAGAAACCCUGUCUUGAAAA
rnacentral:lncRNA from 1 species